UGGGGAAUAUUGGACAAUGGGCGAAAGCCUGAUCCAGCCAUGCCGCGUGUGUGAAGAAGGUCUUCGGAUUGUAAAGCACUUUAAGUUGGGAGGAAGGGCAUUAACCUAAUACGUUAGUGUUUUGACGUUACCGACAGAAUAAGCACCGGCUAACUCUGUGCCAGCAGCCGCGGUAAUACAGAGGGUGCAAGCGUUAAUCGGAAUUACUGGGCGUAAAGCGCGCGUAGGUGGUUUGUUAAGUUGGAUGUGAAAUCCCCGGGCUCAACCUGGGAACUGCAUUCAAAACUGACUGACUAGAGUAUGGUAGAGGGUGGUGGAAUUUCCUGUGUAGCGGUGAAAUGCGUAGAUAUAGGAAGGAACACCAGUGGCGAAGGCGACCACCUGGACUAAAACUGACACUGAGGUGCGAAAGCGUGGGGAGCAAACA
rnacentral:rRNA from 1 species